CAAUAGCGUAUAUUAAAGUUGUUGCAGUUAAAAAGCUCGUAGUUGGAUUUCUGGUGGGAGCGAUCGGUCUGGCGCUUAGCGCGAGUACUUGCAUCGUCUCCGGCCAUCCUUGGGGGGUGUCUGUCUGGCAUUAGGUUGUCGGGCAGAGGAUCCUCAUCGUUUACUGUGAAAAAAUUAGAGUGUUCAAAGCAGGCUUAUGCCGUUGAAUAUAUUAGCAUGGAAUAAUAAGAUAGGACUUUGGUACUAUUUUGUUGGUUUGCGCACCAAAGUAAUGAUUAAUAGGGACAGUUGGGGGUAUUCGUAUUCCGUUGUCAGAGGUGAAAUUCUUGGAUUUACGGAAGACGAACUACUGCGAAAGCAUUUACCAAGGAUGUUUUCAUUAA
rnacentral:rRNA from 1 species